UCCUGGGUGAGGCUGUGUGGGGAAUGUGUGCAGCCUCUUGUUCUGGCAUUCCUGGUCUCCCAGAUCAUCCAUCUGAUCUGCUCCUGGAGCAAGGUGCCUCUGGACAGUGAUGGUUUAACUGGAGAGGGUCCAGGUUUCUGGAAUGAGCCCGGCUAAGAAUUUGCCAAGGGCAUCAACAGCAGUUUUCCCAGGCUCCAGCACAAGGAUUAUGUAGUCAAUCCACAAAUGACUCAAAUCUUUGAAGAGAAGGACAUGGUUAUCAGAGAGGCUUUGACGACAGCAAGGACGGGAGUGCUAUCUGCCUUUUUCCAUCAGAGAUCCCCAUUCCCUCUCAUUAACAUACCCAGGACAUCAGCACAGCCAUCGGCCCGAGGGAAUCGCUUCCAACUUUUAAGGGAAUAUUCACAAGACCUCGCCCCUGCGUUGUCUCAGACAGAUCAAACCAGAUUUGCCUCGUGUAAGGGUUCUUCAGUCCCACUGAAGAUGUGAUGUGAUGUGAUGUGAUGUGAAAGCUGCUGCUGCUGAAACAAUUCUUCCCUUUUUGAGGGGAUAAAGUGCAAUGGGAAUAGAACUGCUCAGAGAAGAAUUCCUUGUGGCAGAAGGAUGGGCAGCAUGGAGAUUUCUGAGAAGGUUUGGAAGUCACUUCCAUCAAGUAGAAGGAAUGUUAUGCUAAAACCGUUCAUCAAAGCUGAGACCUCACAGAUUAUUUUGUUGGAAAGUCAAGAAAACAACAACUGAUUUUUUUCCCCCAGGGCAGAGAUUUUGUGUUAGAAGAGAAAAUAAGAAAACAACCAGACCCCAAAAGAGAGGAAAACGGAAAACCUGAGAUUAGAGAAGGGAAAAGGUAUCAAAAGAAAUUUGAUGAGGCCCUAAUUGUGUCCAAAAUCCAUGAUUGUUUUGAAAUCCAAGGAACUACUGUUGCAUUAUCUGUUCAGAGGGGCUCUAUAGUCAGAAAAUUCUCAUCUCUUGUAUCCCACUUUCAAGAGUUCAGUCUAUUCCAUUCUGGAAUUCCAAAAGACUGGGAAAACACCUGGAUUUACGGUGCUUGGGACUAUUGGGAUUAGAUGCAAGCAGCUGGAUUUUCCCAGGAAUGUUAUUCUGGAAUUUUUGAGUAACACAAGUUCUGGCACAGUGCUGGGGGUGGUGUGGGUACAGAAGCACUGUCAGGUGGACUUGAACCUGGAAAGAUUCCUUGUCACAUAACUGAUCCCAAAUUUCACUUGGGAUUUUUUUACCAAGUUUCCAUUCCCAUUGCAAAUAUAUGGAUAACAUGUUUAGGCACUAUCCUUAAAAAGUAAAGAAAUUAUUUCUUUAAGAGAUGGGUGAUCUGUAGAAGACAUUUGUGUAAUUUUGCAUUCUAAAUGUGAUUUAUAUUUAUA